CUGCCAGACUCCUACGGGAGGCAGCAGUGAGGAAUAUUGGUCAAUGGGCGCGAGCCUGAACCAGCCAAGUCGCGUGAGGGAAGACGGUCCUAUGGAUUGUAAACCUCUUUUGUCGGGGAGCAAAAGACGCCACGCGUGGCGUUCCGAGAGUACCCGAAGAAAAAGCAUCGGCUAACUCCGUGCCAGCAGCCGCGGUAAUACGGAGGAUGCGAGCGUUAUCCGGAUUUAUUGGGUUUAAAGGGUGCGUAGGCGGAGUGUCAAGUCAGCGGUAAAAUUUCGGGGCUCAACCCCGUCGUGCCGUUGAAACUGACACCCUUGAGUGAGUGAGAAGUAAGCGGAAUGCGUGGUGUAGCGGUGAAAUGCAUAGAUAUCACGCAGAACUCCGAUUGCGAAGGCAGCAUACCGGCGCUCAACUGACGCUCAUGCACGAAAGUGUGGGUAUCGAACAGGAUUAGAUACCCCGGUAAG
rnacentral:rRNA from 1 species